ACUGCAGUAGGAAGUGAUUUGAUUACGAGAGAUUUCCAUCGCUUCUCGGAAAAUCGGCGAUAUUUUGCUCCAAUUUUGAGAAGCUGGUGAAAGUUGGGAGCUUCUUCGCUAUGUCAUUUGGAGCUUUCCUUUUCUGGGAAACAAUGGAGUAGGUCCAUGUCUGGAUCGCUCUUCACCAGGAUGAGAAGAAAGAGAGAAUGGAGAAUGAAGCAGAGAUAAGGAGAAUGAAAGUAGAGCUAUAUAAGCAACAAAGUGAGAAGAAUGCUACUGCCUAAUCUUGCUUUCUUUCUCUUGUCAUUUCUGAAUUCUGCCAAUUAUGCUGUUUUGCACAAUAAGUGAAGUGCUCGAGGUUUCCCUCAACCUAAUGACUCUAGUUCACACACCAGAUUUUUAGUAUGUCGAUACUGCUCAACUGAUCAAGUCAAUGAUGAAGGGAUCAAGUAGGCAACUAUCUAGUCGUUGGUCAUGCAAACGGAGAGGCCUGGCCUUCAAUACCUUGACCCACAAUACUAUAGACUAGUAAAUGGAAGUAAGGGUCGAAUCUCACAGGGACAGAGGCAUGUCGAGUUGUGUAUGAGACAUGUUGGGGGUUGCUUCUGCCACGCUUCACUACUGGUGGGUUAACUAAAAUUACUCAAGCAAUAAACUAACCUGAUCAACUAAACUAUCAACAUGAAACAUCAUAACUUGAACUGAUCAACUCAUAUAUAAAUCAUACGUCAACAUAACAGCGGGGACCACUAAAAGAAAAGUGCACUACAAAAAGCUGCAAACAAUGAAAAGGUGAUAGCGAUUGCGAUCCUAACAAACUAUGAUCUUCUUCUUCACUAAGCAUCUAAAAACAAACAUCACGGUAGAGAAAAGCAAAGCAUAUGACAUUAAAGCGAGAAACAAACAAAUCAAAACACGGAUCCAUGCGAUUUAACCCAAGAGAAAACAAAUCUAAGGUAUCUGUCCUAAACUCAUGCAAGUUAACGAAGUGAAACUUAGAUCUAACUACGAAAAAAAUCGGAAGGCAGAGCAACAGAGGUAAUCUAAACAAGAUCCAACUCCCAAAUCACCGAAUCCAACCAAACAUGCAUCACAUACUUCAUCCUAACUUCAGAUUUAAGCUUACGCUUACUCUCAGCCUCUUUGAUUGGUAGGCGGGCGGGCUAAGCCCAACAUAAAUCACUAAGUUGCACAGAGCUAACUUCCAAAUUAGAACAUAACUAAGCUAAAUAAAAGAAACACGAACAGAGAACAUCAGAUCCAAAGCAGCUUGCAUUGAAAACUCCAUUUCAAAAACGAUCCUCAACAAACAAAACAGAAUUCCAAAGCUCAAAUUCAGAAGAUCGAUCAGCAACAAGGAACAGAGUAGAGACUAAACAAAAUAACAACUAAAAUUCGGAAGAAAACAUGAACGAAAACUAAGCAACAAUUGUUUCAACCCCUCGGGUUUUGAAAGAAAAACAAACUGUGAAGGCUUCUUAGGUAGAUAUGCGUCUCUUCUUCCCUUACGAGGAAGAAAAGAGGAAGGUUGAAGUAGAACUGCAACUCCAAUGACUCCUAGCUCCUUUGCUCCAUGCUUGAAAAUGAAAAAGAGGACUGUGUAGUGACUGAGGUGAUAUUGGACUCGAAAAAAGACUCUCUUUUGCAUGCAUUCUCCUUGCUGUUUAUACGAUGAUGUUGGGCCCAAAUUCCUAGGUUAAGCCCAUCCUAUCUUGACAUUUGUGCCCUUGAGAUGACAUCUUUUCUUCUCUCUCCGGUGACUCAUCACUUCAUGUGGUGCACCCCACUUGAUCAACUUGUCGGCCGCUGCUUGUACACAACUGAUCAACUUAGCUCCAUUUCUGGCCAUUUUUUCACUCCUUUAUCGAGUUGAUCAAGUCGAUCCUACAUUUGCCGCUUUUACACUUUAUAGCCCCUGCACACUUAAAUUCACCACUUUUUCGCAUAUUAUCAACCCGGUUAGUGUAAUAAAUCCCUAUAAAACCAUGCUUGUAACGAGCCCUAUCAAUAAGAAUAUCGGUUGGUUU